AGGAAAACGGAAUGAAAAGCCUGGUGCUUGCACCGGGUGGAUUAGUGGCGAACGGGUGAGUAUCACGUGAGUAACCUGCCCUUGACUCUGGGAUAAGCCUGGGAAACUGGGUCUAAUACCGGAUACGACCAGUCCUCGCAUGGGGUGCUGGUGGAAAGAUUUAUCGGUCUUGGAUGGACUCGCGGCCUAUCAGUUUGUUGGUGAGGUAAUGGCUCACCAAGGCGAUGACGGGUAGCCGGCCUGAGAGGGUGACCGGCCACACUGGGACUGAGACACGGCCCAGACUCCUACGGGAGGCAGCAGUGGGGAAUAUUGCACAAUGGGCGCAAGCCUGAUGCAGCGACGCCGCGUGCGGGAUGACGGCCUUCGGGUUGUAAACCGCUUUCAGCAGGGAAGAAGCUUUUUGUGACGGUACCUGCAGAAGAAGCGCCGGCUAACUACGUGCCAGCAGCCGCGGUAAUACGUAGGGCGCGAGCGUUAUCCGGAAUUAUUGGGCGUAAAGGGCUCGCAGGCGGUUUGCCGCGUCUGCUGUGAAAGCCCGGGGCUUAACUCCGGGUGUGCAGUGGGUACGGGCAGACUAGAGUGCAGUAGGGGAGACUGGAAUUCCUGGUGUAGCGGUGAAAUGCUCAUAUAUCACGAAGAACACCGAUGGCGAAGGCAGGUCUCUGGGCCUGUUACU
rnacentral:rRNA from 1 species